rnacentral:rRNA from 1 species
AUCUAGUGGCGGACGGGUGAGUAACACGUGAGCAACCUGCCUCUGAGAGGGGGAUACGCUUCUGGAAACGGAUGGUAAUACCCCAUAACGAUAGUCUGAAGACAUCUUUAGACUAUCAAAGAUUUAUCGCUCAGAGAUGGGCUCGCGUCUGAUUAGCUAGUUGGUGAGGUAAGGCCCACCAAGGCGACGAUCAGUAGCCGGACUGAGAGGUUGAACGGCCACAUUGGGACUGAGACACGGCCCAGACUCCUACGGGAGGCAGCAGUGGGGAAUAUUGCACAAUGGGGGAAACCCUGAUGCAGCGAUGCCGCGUGGAGGAAGUAAGGUUUUCGGAUUGUAAACUCCUGUCUUAAAGGACGAUAAUGACGGUACUUUAGGAGGAAGCUCCGGCUAACUACGUGCCAGCCGCCGC